rnacentral:rRNA from 1 species
UACGUAGGGCGCAAGCGUUAUCCGGAAUUAUUGGGCGUAAAGAGCUCGUAGGCGGUUUGUCGCGUCUGCCGUGAAAGUCCGGGGCUCAACUCCGGAUCUGCGGUGGGUACGGGCAGACUAGAGUGAUGUAGGGGAGACUGGAAUUCCUGGUGUAGCGGUGAAAUGCGCAGAUAUCAGGAGGAACACCGACGGCGAAGGCAGGGCCCUGGGCAAGAACUGACGCUGAGGAGCGAAAGCAUGGGGAGCGAACAGG